UUAGGAGGAAAAGGCAACAUGUGAGUCACCCCAGUGCUGUGUGUGAUGACUAAAUCAAGCCUACAACGAACAGUAUGUUGCUAAUUAACUUAAGAUCCCCAGGCUGACAUGGAAAAAAACCCACAUAAUUAGAGUUGAUAUGCUGAGCUCUGUCUGUCUGUGGGACUCACUGCCUUUAGCUUUAGCUAUAGCUUUGCCUCUCACUAAUUCAAGUGAGUCCAUCCUAUUCACACAGGCUCCUCUCGCCGUGUAUCAUAUAAGGACUAGUAACAAGCGACUUCAUUCAGGUCUCAUCUUCUGCAACAGCUGUACAGUCACUCUUGCUCUUUUGGGUCGAAGAAGAGGUGGGUCUUACCAGAAAGGAGGGGGAAACUCUUCAGAUUGCAGCUUGCUUGUUAUCCCGAGUGCUUGACUAGUUACAACCUUAUCCUGAACAGCAACUGGCUGGGCAGCAGUGAGCAGUAAUUACGAAUGUUAGAGGACUCCAGAGGGCAGGUAGGAGCCCUGCAGAAGCACUGGAACAAAUGGCCGAUAGAAGAAAAACCUGGAAUUGGAGGACCAGAACCAUGCUUUCCAAAAUGCCAUUGAUUACCAUGAGGAAAGAUUACAUGAAGUGCUGGGACAAGUGCAUACUAUCUCUCUGAAUAUACGUCAUUUCAAUACAGCAAUAAUUUCAAGGCAAGGGUAUAAAUACUAUCUAUAUGACCAGGAAUCUGUUUAUAUUUUAACAUAAUUGUGCUUUUCCUUUCGUAUAUCUUCCUCUACCUUUUUUGCAUGAAAUAUACGUUUUAAGCACAUUUAUCCAUUUAUAAGCAGAUGCUCUUUACUUCACACUAGCUGGUUCUCACCAAGAAGCAAGUGGUAGGGGGUUAUUUAUUAAACUUGUGUUUUUUACUAUAAAAUCCGAAUUUUUAGUGGAAAAAAACCCCACACAUUUUUCGGUAUUUAUUAUAGCCUGAGGAUGGAAAAAGUCAGAAUCCAAAAAUCCGGCAUCUCGGAACUGCCAAGGUUGCAGGGAGAAGUCCCAAAUAUAUCUUGAUCUGCGCUUGGUUUUGUGCAAUAAUCCGAAAAUUGUUAGAUUAUAUUAGAUUAUAAAAUUUGUAUGAUUAGUUUUAUCACGUUUUUUUUUUUUUUUCAGAUUUUUUCCCACACAGGAAUUUUCGGUAAAAUGUAUUGAUAAAUAAGAGAAAAAAUUUGUUCAGAUUUGUUCGGAGUCGUUUUCAGAAAAUAAUUUGGACUUAUGGAUAAAUGGGCCUCGUACUCUAGCUCAUGUUUCACAUAUGACUGAUCUGAUUGGUUGACCCAUAGCUUUUCAUUUUAUAAUAUGCCCAUCCAUUAAACAUUAGACAUAGCUAUGAUAGCAGCAAUGCUCAUAGAGACAUAUUAAUUAGGACCAUAUUUAUCAAACCGUGAAAUUGGAGCUUGCCCCAGUUGGCCGGAGUAAAAAGCCUCUAUUAAUUUCUAAGGGAUUUUUAAAACUGUAUCUAUAACUCCUUCACCCACUUUGCAGGGUCUUACACCUUUUCUGUAGAAAUGUAAAAUACCUUUAACAGGAUACUUGACAGAUCCUGCAAAUCCUUUUGCCUAGAGCUACGUGGUACAGUACAUUCCAUCUCACCACCUAUGUACAGCUUGUCUGACAAGGAAAUGAGAGUAUAAUGGGCAAAAGACUAAUAUGAAAGCUGUUAGAUCAUUGUUAUUGCCACUGUUAUAUUUGAUUAAAUAAGCAAUUUAUUA